rnacentral:rRNA from 1 species
UACGUAGGGGGCGAAGCGUUGUCCGGAAUCAUUGGGCGUAAAGAGCGUGUAGGCGGUCCGGUAAGUCGGUUGUGAAAGUCCAGGGCUCAACCCUGGGAUGCCGACCGAUACUGUCGGACUAGAGUUCGGAAGAGGCGAGUGGAAUUCCCGGUGUAGCGGUGAAAUGCGCAGAUAUCGGGAGGAACACCUAUGGCGAAGGCAGCUCGCUGGGACGUUACUGACGCUGAGACGCGAAAGCGUGGGGA